AUCACUGGCUGAGGAGAACUUCCUGUAGGCUAUUGCUUCUGGGGCUGUCCACCGAAUUGGGAUCUUCCCACCCUGAAAAUACACACAUACAGGGUCGUGGGGGAACUGGAGCCUAUCCCAGCAAGCAACGGGUGGAAGACAGGAAUCUCCUGGUUGGGAUGGCAGUACAUCACAAGGACACUCCAUUGUUGAUGCAGUUAAUUGGCCAGCUGGGACAUAAAAUCUCUGUCAUGAAGUGAUGCCUCUUUGACGUGAGAGAAGAUCAUAAUCUCUGUUUCAUUUAUACCAAGUUUUGCUGCCAUGCAAAAUCUACCUAUUAAAAGAAAAGGCAAAAGAAAAACUGCUCAACAGCCAAAUCCCCUGGCAGGAAGAGAGACAUUUUAAUGGAAACAAUGAUCAAACUACGUGAAUUUGUUUCUCAAGGCACACAAAAGAUAUGAUCAUUCAAGAGCCAAAUGUUGUGAUGAUUUCUCAGCGGUCUUGGGGUGAAUAAACUGUAGAGAUUCUUAUUAUCUCUAGAUGCAUUGAACAGUUAGGAGAUAGAACAGCUUUAUACACAAAAGCACAGAUGAAGGGUCACAGAGGACACCUGAGCAGUAUUCUGACAAUGAGCCUGCAGUUAAGCAGUCUUCCUUGGCUAUUGGGGAUAUACUUUCUGGUAGAAGCCAGAUGAGACACUUUUUCACAUGAGACACAGGUUUCACUUCCACACAGAAAUAGCCCUCAAGCCCUUUUGUACAUAUGAACACUGCUAAAAAACUGCUUGGAAAUGUCCCAGAUGUCCAGGCCUGGGCUUAUUGUACAGAUACAUUUAUAUUAUAUUUAUACAUACCUACAGUAUAUAUUCAAAUAUACAUCAAGUUCAUAUAGAUAUACAACUGCUACAGUAUGAUACAGGCAAAGGGGUUGAACAUUUAAUGAAAAUACUAUAACUGGUUGACAUGCAUUAACAAAGUAUUCCACAAAACUUUUC